AACGAACGCUGGCGGCGUGCCUAACACAUGCAAGUCGUGCGAGAAAGUUCCUUCGGGAGCGAGUAAAGCGGCGCACGGGUGAGUAACACGUAGGUAACCUGCCCCCCAGUCUGGAACAACUAGAGGAAACUCUAGCUAAUGCCGGAUGAGACCACGAUCCCUUCGGGGGUUGCGGCCAAAGAUGGCCUCUACUUGUAAGCUAUCGCUGAGGGAUGGGCCUGCGGGCCAUUAGCUUGUUGGUGAGGUAACGGCUCACCAAGGCUGUGAUGGCUAGCUGGUCUGAGAGGAUGACCAGCCACACUGGGACUGAGACACGGCCCAGACUCCUACGGAGGCAGCAGUGGGGAAUAUUGCGCAAUGGGCGAAAGCCUGACGCAGCGACGCCGCGUGGGUGAUGGAGGCCUCGGUC
rnacentral:rRNA from 1 species